CAAAACACAUCUGCAUACUAAUACAGGAAUUAAAGAAUGGAUAGAAUGUGUGGCUGGGGAUAAUCCUAAAAAAUUUCAUCUGUACUGCAUAUUAGUGA